rnacentral:rRNA from 1 species
AUUGAACGCUGGCGGCAGGCCUAACACAUGCAAGUCGAGCGGUAGAGAGGUGCUUGCACCUCUUGAGAGCGGCGGACGGGUGAGUAAUGCUUAGGAAUCUGCCUAUUAGUGGGGGACAACAUUCCGAAAGGAAUGCUAAUACCGCAUACGCCCUACGGGGGAAAGCAGGGGAUCUUCGGACCUUGCGCUAAUAGAUGAGCCUAAGUCGGAUUAGCUAGUUGGUGGGGUAAAGGCCUACCAAGGCGACGAUCUGUAGCGGGUCUGAGAGGAUGAUCCGCCACACUGGGACUGAGACACGGCCCAGACUCCUACGGGAGGCAGCAGUGGGGAAUAUUGGACAAUGGGCGGAAGCCUGAUCCAGCCAUGCCGCGUGUGUGAAGAAGGCCUUUUGGUUGUAAAGCACUUUAAGCGAGGAGGAGGCUACUUAGAUUAAUACUCUGGGAUAGUGGACGUUACUCGCAGAAUAAGCACCGGCUAACUCUGUGCCAGCAGCCGCCGUAAGAC